rnacentral:lncRNA from 1 species
CAAUUGAUAUUGUCCUGGCUCUUUGUCUAUAAACUGAACUUAGGGGUACCUGGUGCAAUGGCUGCUUUAGUUAUCUCAUCUUGGUCUGUAGGAAUUGGGCUAUUGGUGUAUGUUAUUGGAGGCUGGUGUCCAGAUACAUGGACAGGAUUUUCUAGGAGUGCCUUCUCUGACCUUUAUCCAGUAGUGAAGCUCUCUGCCUCCUCUGGUGUGAUGCUAUGGUAAGUUUAGUCCCCUUCUUCCUAAUUUUUUUUUCUUGCUAGGAAUUUUCUCCUUUGGUGCUGGAAAAGUUAUUACGUACGAAAAGGUAUCAUGAGGUCUUUACGAUAUUGGAAUCUUCAUUGGUCUUUACGAUAUGGUAUAGUCCCCUUCUUCGUAUUUCAUAUCUUUCAAACUAGGAUUUUUCUCCUUUGGUGCUGGCCAAGUUUCACAUACUACAAGUUUUCCAAUACGCUCCGCAUAGCCAUAGUUUUAAUGCUAAGGUAAAUAAGCAUGAUUUAACAUAGUUACAUAAGGUCUCGUUAACUAGUUUAAGUUGCUCUCUUAGAAAAAAUCAAAAAGUUGUGAAAGGAAUACAUAGGUAAAAAGUUUUAAUCAGACAGUCAUAAAGUCCCAGUUAACUACUUGACUCUAUUCGAUAAGACCUAAUCUAAUAUGUAUACUAUGUAUUCCUUUCACAACUUUUAAAGUUUUAAUCAGACAGUCAUAAAGUCCCCAUUAACUACUUGACUCUAUUCGAUAAGACCUAAUCUAAUCAGUAAACAUUUGUAGAGUGCUUAACCAGGUCUCAUAUGAUUUACAUUCUAUAUUUACAUGAACAAUACAAAAUAUGCCUUUCAUUGUCAAGUUGACCCAUUCAGUUGAAUGGCAGGUCUAUACAAAACAUAACUUUUGAAGCCCUUGGUAAAUUAUUGAGUCACCCAAAACUUUGAUCAGCUUAGUUAAUGGGAAGUCUAGUUAUCUUUACUCUUUAGAAGAUUUUCAAAGUCAAGCUCCAGUCUGUUCAGAUGUUUUCUCAUUUAUCCUCAAUGUGGUUUCCUUUUACUUCUUUUUGACAAAUUGAGAAAAUUGUCGGGCACCACAGUUACUCGUUACUUGUCUCACCUUGUGGAAUUCAAGUAUCAUACUCGUUUUCCCGAAUUUUCAAGACAUCAAACAGUGUUACGUACACUGAAUUAACAAUCAGUGUCCAGAUAUAGUGGACAAGCAAAUUUUUUGCGAAUGUAUUCUGUAUUUGUUUAAACAUAUAAGCAAUGCACUUUAAAGCAUUCUCAUUUCUUGAUUCUGCGAUUUUUUAUCAUCUGUAGCUUAGAGCUGUGGUACAAUGCAGUUUUGAUCUUAUUAGCAGGUCAUAUGAAAAAUGCCACGACCUCCAUUGCUGCUUUCUCAAUCUGGUACCAUUUUACAAUUUUGUUACAUCUCUCUCUUCCUGUGAAUGCCCCUUUUUAUCUGUUUUGUCUGAAAACCUAUGCUAACUGGAAUCUGUUUAUCUUACAGCCUCAAUAUAGUGGCUUGGCAAUUGAUGUUAUUCUUUGGUUUUCUAACUGCGGCAUGGUAUGGCUUCACUCACUGAACUAGUCUCUCAGUAUGAAGACCUAAUCAUCCUUGUGUUAACAUUCCGGCCAGAAUAUUGACUUCUCUUACUUCGAGUUUCCUUUUAGUGUAAGGGUCUCUAACGAGCUAGGGAGAGGGGAUGCCGAAGCUGCAAAAUUCUCUGUUAAAGUCAUCAUGGUAACUUCAUUAUCGCUUGGAGUGAUCUUCACUAUUCUAUCUUUGGCUUUUGGGCAUGUCAUAUCAUAUGCCUUCACUGAUAGCGCGGAGGUGGCCAAAGCUGUGUCAAGUCUCUCAUUCCUACUGGCUAUAUCUGUUUUCCUCAAUAGUAUACAGCCAGUACUUACAGGUUAGCUCUGCCUUUUCUUUUCAUUUUUUUUUUUUUGAUAUUUGGGAGUAUUAUACCAUUAUUUCACAAUGUGUUUCCCUGGUCUAGGAAACCGACAUUGUUAUUUUAUGGACCACAUUGUUUAUCAUUCUAUACUUCAUCUCUACUGGUUAGCAUAAAGACCAGAAAUCUUCAAUACUGCACUAUAAUAUAGUUAAUGCAGAACCUAGAGUUCUCUAAUAUUUUUCGUUUUCCCCAAUUUGUUUUAUCAGGAGUGGCGGUUGGUGCUGGUUGGCAAGUUGCAGUAGCUUAUGUUAACAUCGCUAGUUACUAUGCCUUGGGAAUUCCUGUCGGAGUGUUGCUUGCAUAUUUGUUUCAUCUUGAAAUUAGGGUAAGAAACCACAUUUUUUGCUGUCACAAACUGAUGUUACUUUGGAUCUUAAUUGAUGUAAGUGAAUUACACAGUGUAGAGGAAUACCUGGAUAUAUAAAUAUAUGUGGAGUUUUUUAAAGUCUUGGUAGAGGUGACCACUAAAAAAUCGUGAAACGACAGAGGUGGUCUGUCUUAGCUGUAGACAACAUUCUGUGAUUUAAAGAUGCUAAAAAUGAUCUGACAUACUUCACCUUCAUUUUACGCUGCAAUCUCUUGGUUAUAUAGUUUGUACAUUAUACACACACAUUGAAAUCAUACUUCAUUGCAAAAUAAAGCUCCACUGCAGCAACGAACAUUUGUGAAAUAACUCAAUAUUUUACGAGACUCGUCAUCACCUGUCAAUGUCUUAUCACAAUCGCCUAGAUGACUAGAUCAGUGACAGCAGUCUGUUGUUGUUAUUCUAUUCUAUCAUUUCACAACUUUUUGAUGUUAUGCACUUUCUCAAUGUAUUUUACUUUUAUGAAAUGCUCUUGACGUACACUACUUUUCUUUCAUAAAAACACCUCUCAUCUUACCUUUCUUUUUGGCUUGUCUUCCAGGGUAUUUGGAUUGGAAUGGUAAUUGGUGUUGGAAUUCAAACACUUGCUAUUGCUUUCAUGACCUGCAGAACAGAUUGGGAUGCACAGGUAAAUCAGAAAAAAAAUAAGCUUACGUAGGAAAAUACGGUCUGAAUGGACACCAGUAUAGGACACUUGUACAAUAUGCGCAGUAUAACAAUGAUACAAAAAUGAAUAUUUACCUUAUUGCAAGGUAAAAGCCAUUUUUGGUUGAUAACUACUUAUGUUCUGCUUAAUUUUUACAGGUUGACAAGGCAAGUGCACGCCUCAACAGAUGGUUUGUGCCGAAUUUGCAAGCCGAAUCCAAUGACAUCACACCUCUUGCAUGAAGGAAAGAAGAACCUAGCUUGAACUUUUUGUAUGUAGCAUUUAGACUUGGGCGAUCAAAUGAAUCAUGUCAAACAGAAAUUUUAUGCAAUUUUUCUGAAAAGAUCGAAACAAUGUUGUAUCUGGAAAGGCUUUAAAUUCCGAUACAUUAGUAGUGAUGAAAUUAUGGAGUACUAGCUUUUCUAAGAUAUGAUGAAACAAUGUUGUCGAUGAAUACAAUAUGCCUUUUGGUUUACUUCUUGUAUCUCACCAUCUCUUGAAAUUUGUUUAAUUAUAUUAUUUUUUCUCAAAGUUUUUUAGAAGAUAGAGUUGAAAUAUACAUACUGUAUUAACCAUAAUUGUGAGGUUGGUCAAUACAUUAAUGAAUGAUGAUGAUCUGUAUGAUAUGAACAAUAAUAAUAAAAUAGAGACAUGAACACCAUUGUAUACGUGGUUCGGCAAUUGUGCCUACAUCCACGGAGAGAGAGAAUGAUCUUUAUUAUAGUAGUGGUGAUACAAAAUGGGAGCUCGAUAAUGGAGAGAGCUCAAGAGAGAGAUGAGACCUGAGAGGUGAGGUCUCAUCAUGAGAGAUUGGGGAGGUCGUUGAUCAUGAGACCUCACCAUGAGGUUGUGUUGGGAGCAUUAGGCUAUCAGACCAUGUCAGCAGAGAUGAGAACCUCCCAAGAAUGAGUAGCUUGCCUUCAUAUUUAUAGGCUUACAAUGUAACUCCAUUCCUAGCAUUUAAUGAGGUAAUGAUGAGAGAAUAUCUUUGUAGUAAUUGGCUUUAACUUUGUAACUUGUGCCAUCAAGAGAGAGUCCAUUAGAUGAUGACAUGUGGCACCAUGAUGUACGGUAGAGAUGGUGCCACAUGUAUGUUGUAUGUAGUACCCCUACACAUACAUACAAAAAUUGAAAAAAGAAAAUGCAUACAUGUUAAAUUUUAGAGUCUGGUAAACAGACUUCCCGGAAAAAUCUCAAUUUCCUAUGUUUGAUUAUAUGGAAAAUAAAGCAGUAAAUUAUUAAGGUUAUUAAAACGAAAUGAUAAAUUAAAAUGUGAGAGAUAUUGGAGCUCAAUGUCGAUGAAUCCUUACUAAAAACAUAUUUACACGAUUUCCUAACCAUUUUCAUGAUCAAUAUGAUAAUAUAUGUAGCACUAUAGUCAUUUUCUGAAAAAUUAAUUUCUCGAUAUUUGCACAAUCGUAAAUCUAUUUUCUGGUAAAUUGUUUCCUGGCCGAAUCAAACAGACCCUAAGUUCUGCAAAAUCAAAAUCAUUAUUGACCGUUGGAUUGCAAAAGAAAGAAGUCGGGCUUAGUGGACUCGAGAAACAAAGAUUAGUUGUUUCCAUGUCUUCUCUGCUCUGAUGCAAUCCUGCAAAACUAUUGUUACUUUCUUUCUUCCUUAUUUCAAAGUUUGUUGUUUUUCUUCAAAAUCAAAACAUGAAGAAGAUCAAGUCAAGUGAGUAUUAUGUACACUAGUUUUUUUUCCCCUUUUUACAGAUUUUUUUGCAAGAAAAACUUUUGAAAUGAUAAUGUUGUUGUCUUACUGUGUAUUAAUGUUGAAUUCAUUGUUGUUGUAAAUAGAGAAAUUGUUCCUAAUUGAGAGAUUAGUUGGAUUGGAUUUUUUUAAUCUUAACUUUUAAUCGAAUUUGUUUCUACAGUCAACUCCCAAUCCCUUUUGCAAUUUUCUUACAUUUUACGAAGUAAAAUGCCUUUGAUUAUUUGAUAGAAAUAAUCACAAAGCAUAUUUUGGCACUUUUGGUGGGUUAAGAAGAAGUAUGAUUAAGGUGAUUCAUGAAAAAGUCGAGUCGAUCUGGAGAAGCAAAACGAAAUCCUGAUUUGGCCAAAAAAGAAGCAACACUAUGUAUACCAUGACCGAUCACCGUUGAGAAAGAAGAAUCUUUCUAAAUUAGUUUGCAUCAGAAACUCAACAAGGCUUUCAAGCAUGAAACAUCCAAAAUACGCCGGGGUUGUAAAUGACAUUGUGUUUCUGAUAGAAAUCAAGUUUUCCAUUAAUAAAGUUAACCAAACAUAUUGAACGUAUGGUUGGUUGACUGGGUCAAAUUCACUGUAAAAAGGGGAAUCAUCUUAAUUGAGUGACCUGCCAUGGAAAUUGAAAAACAUAAAACUAAACCCUAGCAAAGGACCUAAGACAACGACAGAAAAUUGUCGCCUGCAUAUGUAUUUGACCCUUACCCUUGUUCAAUCACCAACAUCUUUUUUGACAAAGAUACAAAUAUUGUCAGGAUAUUACUACAAAUUCAGAUGAUAGAAGCAUGCAUCUAUUUCGUCAUUAUUCUUCUUUCAUGUUGAAAGAAACACAAGUUUAAAUUUGUAACUCGAAACUGCAAUGCAGAUAUACUACUUACCAAUGAGUUUUCUUGUUGUUGUUUGAUAAGCACAAGGGGAGGAAUGAAUGAUGCAAUGGAAGAUAAGCUUCUUGGCCCAAGUGAGGAAGAUGAAGAAGAUUUGAAACUAAGAGUCUGGGUAGAGUUUAAGAAAUUCUGGACACUUGCAUGUCCUGCUAUAAUCACAAGAUUAACCUCAUUUGGAAUCCUAGCUUGUGGCAACACAGUCAUUUAUGGGACAUAUUGUUCCGACAGAGUUAUCUUCAUAUGCUCUCCUACAGACCUUUCUCCUUCGUUUUGCAAAUCGAAUAUUGGUAUGGUAUGCUCUUGGUCCUUACCUUGCAUGUCUACAUGUUCUUCCAUUGUUAAUAAUGAAAUGCAUGAUUUUUCUAAGAUUUAAUAUACUUUGCUUUUCUUUUGGUUUGCCAAAAUGAUAUGUACAGUUGGGACUGCUGAGCGCUCUUGAAACUCUAUGUGGUCAGGCCUAUGGUGAAAAGAAUACCACAUGAUGGAAAUCUACAUGCAGCGAUCAGCCGAUCAUGGGGUGUUGUUCUUACUAAUGCAACCGUUAUGCAUCCUCCCAUUUUGUGACUUCUUGGGCAUGAAGAGGAAUCAUUGGUAUUAUCAGGAAAAAUUGUGCUGUGGUGCAUUCCCAUUCUCUAUUAAAUAGCAAGGCUUUUGUACUUCAAUUGAUUUUUCCCUGGCAUGUCUACAAACUGAAGUUGGGGCUACCUGGUGCAAUGGCUGCUUUAGUAACCUCAUCUUCAUCAAUAAGAUUUGGGCUAUUGGUCUAUGUUGUUGGAAGCUGGUGUUGAGAUACACGUACAGAAUUUUCUAGGAGUGCCUUCUCGGACCUUUAGCCAUUAGUGUUGCUCUCUGCAUCCUCUGGUGUGAUGCUAUGGUACGUUUAAUCCCCC